GGAGAGGUGGCAGAGUGGUCGAACGCGCUACCUUGGAAAGGUAGUGUGUCAGCAAUGGCACCGCGGGUUCGAAUCCCGCCCUCUCCGCCA
rnacentral:tRNA from 1 species